CAAUAGCGUAUAUUUAAGUUGUUGCAGUUAAAAAGCUCGUAGUUGGAUUUCGGGCGCGCGGCGGCGGUCUCCCCUUGGGACGUACUGCCGCGGCGCGCCUUGGCGCCGGGGACGCGCGCCCGGGCUUGAUUGCUCGGGCCGCGGAGUCGGCGACGUUACUUUGAGUAAAUCAGAGUGUUCAAAGCAAGCCAACGCUCGCAUGUGAUAGCAUGGGAUAACACGACAGGACUCUGGCCUAUCGUGUUGGUCUGUAGGACCGGAGUAAUGAUAAAGAGGGACAGUCGGGGGCAUUCGUAUUCCGUCGUCAGAGGUGAAAUUCUUGGAUUGCCGGAAGACGAACAUCUGCGAAAGCAUUUGCCAAGGAUGUUUUCAUUGAUCAAGAACGAAAGUUGGGGGCU
rnacentral:rRNA from 1 species